rnacentral:rRNA from 1 species
GAUGAACGCUGGCGGCGUGCCUAAUACAUGCAAGUCGAGCGAACAGACGAGGAGCUUGCUCCUCUGACGUUAGCGGCGGACGGGUGAGUAAAACGUGGAUAACCUACCUAUAAGACUGGGAUAACUUCGGGAAACCGGAGCUAAUACCGGAUAAUAUAUUGAACCGCAUGGUUCAAUAGUGAAAGAAGGUUUUGCUGUCACUUAUAGAUGGAUCCGCGCCGCAUUAGCUAGUUGGUAAGGUAACGGCUUACCAAGGCAACGAUGCGUAGCCGACCUGAGAGGGUGAUCGGCCACACUGAAACUGAGACACGGUCCAGACUCCUACGGGAGGCAGCAGUAGGGAAUCUUCCGCAAUGGGCGAAAGCUUGACGGAGCAACGCCGCGUGAGUGAUGAAGGUCUUCGGAUCGUAAAACUCUGUUAUUAGGGAAGAACAAAUGUGUAAGUAACUAUGCACGUCUUGACGGUACCUAAUCAGAAAGCCACGGCUAACUACGUG